CUGCAAAAACAUAAAAUAAGCAUAAGGAAUACUGCACCUGGUUUCAUGAGGAUGGAAAUAAUAGUUAGAAAGGACCAUGACCAAACAAUACAAAAACAACAAUCAGAUGGUGCAGAGCGACCAUUGAGCUUUGCUCAAUCCUGUAAAGGACGAGGCACACUCAUGAUAAGUCUUUGCUGCAUAAUUUACUAACCUCUCUUUUUUUUGUUUUCUUUUGUGUGUGUGUGCGCGCGCGCGUGCACUUGUCUUGGAUUUGCAAGAAUGUAUGAGGAAUUGUGGCAUAAUGACCUUAUAAAAAGAGACUUGCUGAAAGUAAAAAAUUUUACUUUAUUUUUAAUUUUCAAAUCAUUUAACACCAGUUGAUGGUCAUAGAUGGCGCACAUGUUUUUGUGCAUGUCUGUGAAUAUGUGCUGAUGGGGAUAUGUUUAGGAGGUGUGUAGAUAUUUGUAUCUGGACUUAUUUAACUUGUAAAUUGCGCAUUUAACAUACCUGUUUUGGGGAUUUUUUUUUUUUCAUUCUUCUCUUUCUCAAAAUGGAAAAUUGCAUGGUAAUAUGAAAAACAAUGUAUGCAUAAGGGAUAAAAGCCAACAAUAUUGACAAAUUAAAUGUUCUUAUUAGUGACUGUUCGAGAACAACACUAACGUGCAAAAUUUAGAACAAGCUCGCCUGCUGGAAAGGUAUAGUGCAUUUUACACAUUAAACAGAAUCAAUCUUGUGCUUGAUAUUCAUUGAGAAUAGUGGGCUGUUUGCCCAAUUCAGAUAGUGGAAGUGUUUAAAAUUAAAGUCACAGUUCUCACCAUAGGUUAUGCUCCUUAUUUUAACGUAAUGGCGUAUUUUUCUCACUUUUCAUAUGGUGUUAAUUAAUUAGUAGUUUAUUGCUAGUUUGAAGACACUCUCUUUCAUCUUGCAUGAUUAUAUGCUUAAACCGUUAUGUACUUUAAUUGAGAUGAAACUUUUAGUUAUCUUGCACUUUUUAUUUAGUCCUUAUUCAUGUUGUAUUAGUUAUCUGAUAAUUAUUUUCUCUCACUUUGUUACCUUCAAUAAACAAGUUUCCUUCAGCACUUCUGUUUGGUAGGUAUUCACAUCCUAGACUAAUGGCUUCGUCUAGACAUUUAUGAGCAAAUGGCUUUCUAACUUUUCAUUAUAAAUGAACUUCCUUUACAACCUUUGAUAAAUAUUCAAAUCCUAGUUUAACGGUGGCGUCUAAUUAGGCAUUUAUAUUCUGCUUUUACUUUAUUCUCACUGCCUGAAAUUAGUAAGUUUUAUAGGGGCAUCCUUAUUGUCAAACUUGUAUAUUUUUAAGGUGAAACUUAAUGGGCAAGUUAGAUGCUGAAAGAGGUAUUCACUAUUCAGCAUUCUCCUGGACCAGAGGAAAAAGGGAUAAAUUUCAACAACUAUCCUUGAACUUAUAUAUUUGUAACACUACAGUCCUUUAACU
rnacentral:misc_RNA from 1 species